AGUAAAAUGCCUGAAGAUUAGGGGUUAUCUUGAUGAGAUAAAAAAUGUAUUCUAUACUUUUACUA
rnacentral:tRNA from 1 species